rnacentral:rRNA from 1 species
GAUGAACGCUGGCGGCGUGCUUAACACAUGCAAGUCGAACGAUGAAGCCCAGCUUGCUGGGUGGAUUAGUGGCGAACGGGUGAGUAACACGUGAGUAACCUGCCCUUGACUCUAGGAUAAGCCCGGGAAACUGGGUCUAAUACUGGAUAGGAACGUCUACCGCAUGGUGGGUGUUGGAAAGAAUUUCGGUCAUGGAUGGACUCGCGGCCUAUCAGCUUGUUGGUGAGGUAAUGGCUCACCAAGGCGACGACGGGUAGCCGGCCUGAGAGGGUGACCGGCCACACUGGGACUGAGACACGGCCCAGACGCCUACGGGAGGCAGCAGUGGGGAAUAUUGCACAAUGGGCGAAAGCCUGAUGCAGCGACGCCGCGUGAGGGAUGACGGCCUUCGGGUUGUAAACCUCUUUCAGUAGGGAAGAAGCGAAAGUGACGGUACCUGCAGAAGAAGCACCGGCUAACUACGUG